GUGAUCCUACGGGGGGCAGCAGUGAGGAAUAUUGGUCAAUGGACGAGAGUCUGAACCAGCCACGUAGCGUGAAGGAUGACUGCCCUAUGGGUUGUAAACUUCUUUUAUAAAGGAAUAAAACGAGGCACGUGUGCCUUUUUGCAUGUACUUUAUGAAUAAGGAUCGGCUAACUCCGUGCCAGCAGCCGCGGUAAUACGGAGGAUCCGAGCGUUAUCCGGAUUUAUUGGGUUUAAAGGGUGCGUAGGCGGAUCGUUAAGUCAGUGGUCAAAUUGAGGGGCUCAACCCCUUCCCGCCAUUGAAGCUGG
rnacentral:rRNA from 1 species